UACAUAGGUCCCGAGCGUUGUUCGGAUUCACUGGGCGUAAAGGGUGCGUAGGCGGCGAGGUAAGUCGGAUGUGAAAGCUCGGAGCUCAACUCCGAAAUGGCAUUGGAAACUACCUUGCUCGAGGGUUGGAGGGGGGACUGGAAUGCUUGGUGUAGCAGUGAAAUGCGUAGAUAUCAAGCGGAACACCAGUGGCGAAUGCGAGUCCCUGGACAACUCCUGACACUGAGGCACGAAAGCUAGGGGAGCAAACAGG
rnacentral:rRNA from 1 species